GAUGAACGCUGGCGGCGUGCCUAAUACAUGCAAGUCGAGCGAACAGACGAGGAGCUUGCUCCUCUGACGUUAGCGGCGGACGGGUGAGUAACACGUGGAUAACCUACCUAUAAGACUGGGAUAACUUCGGGAAACCGGAGCUAAUACCGGAUAAUAUAUUGAACCGCAUGGUUCAAUAGUGAAAGACGGUUUUGCUGUCACUUAUAGAUGGAUCCGCGCCGCAUUAGCUAGUUGGUAAGGUAACGGCUUACCAAGGCAACGAUGCGUAGCCGACGUGAGAGGGUGAUCGGCCACACUAGAACUGAGACACGGUCCAGACUCCUACGGGAGGCAGCAGUAGGGAAUCUUACGCAAUGGGCGAAAGCCUGACGGAGCAACGCCGCGUGAGUGAUGAAGGUCUUCGGAUCGUAAAACUCUGUUAUUAGGGAAGAACAAAUGUGUAAGUAACUAUGCACGUCUUGACGGUACCUAAUCAGAAAGCCACGGCUAACUACGUG
rnacentral:rRNA from 1 species